CUGGCUUCAUCAAGGGAUUUGAACCAGGUAUCAGGAGGUUGAACUGGGAUCAGUGAAAGAAGGCAAUUUAUCUUGGGGAUGAUGACUAGAGAGAAGAGUACAACUAACAGUGGCAGUACUCAAUUGCUGGGGGAUGCUGGAAACUGACUGUGAUGUUCUAAAAGAGCUCAUGUUCCAACACAAUCCAGGCCAAUUGGGUUUGGACAUCCGAGAUCUCUACACCAAGUGGGCAGCGGGCAGUCUCCUG